UCAGAGCACUAUACCUCUGGUUCACAGCAGGAUGGCAGCAAUGCUACAGGCUUCUUCACAUCUUGCACUCUCCCUAUUGCUAUAGAAACGCCAGUGGUUUAGACAUUCAGCUUGCCAAAUUUUAAUCACUUUCCAGUGGCUCUCAGAGCUGUGCUGGUUUGCUCAGCAACAAAAGUGACGGCUUGAGGAGUCAAUGGGUAAUGAGAAGGCAUUCUUCUCUCCUGCUUAUUUCUUUUUUUCCUCCCUCCAGUUGAAGCUGCUGCUUUCAGGAAGGAAGCCUACAAAACCACUAAGUUGUGUACAUCAUAAGCUCAGCACCUGACUGACAGCUGGAGCGGGAAGAAUUAAGAUGUGAACAUCUUCCUUCAAAGCACCACAGUUCAUUUUUAUGGCCAAGAGCACGGCUGUGUCCGUGCAGUAAAAAUGCAUUGAAGAGAGAGGAAAAGAAUGGCAGAUGAAAGCGGUGAGGCUUGUUUGCUCCACCGUGCUGCUGCUGGGUGAAGUGGAAGCAAUGCCACCUUCAGCACGUGGCACGUUAUUUGCAGGAACGUGUCAGCCCUAGAACAUGUCAAGUGGUACCUCCAAGUUCAUUGAGGAAAGCAGAGCUAUCUCUUUUGUUGGAAGGCAGAGCUAUUCAGCAUUAAUAAUGAAACCCGUAGAUGGUUUUAUGACAAGCAAUACGAAAACCUUGCAGGAAUGGAUAUGUGGGCCUCAGCAGUAACGUGAAUGUUUAUGGAUACAACUUAAGGGGUAACUUCUCAGCCUAGCAAGCAAGCAGGAGGGAAAUGACAGACUGAAAUAGCACAGCUUCCCACCUGAGGUCAGAUACUUCUUAUCUACCUUCUAUUUAUCUAUUUUCAGAGGUGUGCUUUACAUAUUCCUACAACCUCACAUGCUCUGCAAGGCACAUCAGAGGGGACAGGUUUGUGGUUGCACUGAGCAGAGCUAUGCAGCAGCACUCCUAAGCUCAGGGCUUUCUGCUGGGCAUCCUGUUAGUCCAGAGCUCACACACCUGCAGGAAGUGCAAUCAGCCCUUCUGAUUUGCAAUUGCAGGUGAAUUCAAUUAGCUUUUAGCUGCUUAUAGGCAGUCUUGAAGGCAGGUAGAAGAAGGUUAUGGCAGUUACAGCAGAUCCUGUGCUGGAGCUGGAAGGGGAAGAUUCCUUGGAUAGCUCAAACUCAAGAAGAUCAGAAAGGUUAAUUCUCUUUCAUUAUAAUGAGGUGAAUCAGUCAACCAAAGAGGCAGCUGAGAGCCAGAGCCAUCGCAAGGGAAGAGGUGGGCAAGCAUGGAACAGUGUGUUGAGCAGGAUAGUCAAGCAGCAGCACAGACAGGAGAGCAUCCGUUCUCAUCCACCUCUGAGUCUCUCCUUCACUCAGCUUCUCUUCUCAUCUGCUCUCCAGUCAGCCUGGAAGGAGCCUUUGAUAUCUAGCUGCUCGUCACUGCAAGUUUACUGCCUACGUCUUCCAUCGGUGCCAAAGUCAGAUGAGGUGAACAUACAACUGGCCUGACUCUUCCUUCAGUUACUCUGAAAUCAAUGCAGUUAUGUCAACAAAAGCUGAACUGAACUUGGUGUCUCUCCAGAUCUUCCCAAGCAAACUCCAGCUGGUGGGGUAUGCAAAUGGACUGAAGGACUGACAGAAAGAUGAGAAUAGGAAAAGUAUCCAUUUCACUUAGUAACAGGAGGGGAAAGGCGCUGACACACGAGGAAACAUCAAAAGAACUUACAUACAUGUGGGCGAAGAAGUAAAAUUGAUAAUAUCUUAAAAACUGCUUCCUUGACCUGUAAGAACUGAUCCAAGAGUACAUCAGGGUGUGGAAGACCAAGAAACCGAAUCACUGUUAGAGUCUUAUCUACAUCCUAACCAGAAGGUGAAAUAGAUAAAAUUGGAGUGAAUUCAACAGAGACUCCAGCUGCAGGAGCUGCUGAAGAGAUAUAACAAGAUGUCCAGAUGAUAUCAGUUUAAAAAUGAUGUAAUUGUACCAUUGUUUUAGCUGUCAGUUCUCUGCCAUCUGUUGUGCAUUUGCAGUGUGUUUUCAUAGAAAAGCUUUUUUUUUCUUAUGUCAGAUAGACUCAAAUCAAGGAAAGAAAACCAAGUCCAGCCGGGAGCCUGUGUGUGAGAGAACACGGUUUCCAUAUUCUUGCUUUGAAAUGAAAGAAAGAAAACGUGCCAAGCUUACUUUCUUUUGACCACAGUUCGUUUGCCAAUCACAGAAGUAUACGUCGCCCUAAACCUCUCCAGAGUUUGAGCCAUCCCUAUUCCCAGCUGUGAGGAGGCAACUGCAAAAGAGAGCGUGUAGGUUUUACCAAACUGAAAGACCCGCCAGCAGAAGGAAGGAGCAGUUCCCUGCGCAUUCCAGGUGCCCAGAAGCAGCUUCACUUGGACUUGAAACAAGGGAUGUACCACCGUAGCUGGAACUGAAGAGAGCUGCAAGGCUUGCCAUGUGCUAGCACCUCAUGAAAGCACCCAAAGAGUUGGGUGGUCAAGGUAAACAGUUUAUCCUCCUAAAGUAGUUGUUGGAAGGAAGGUGUUGGUGGGAGGAGAUGUGAGUUCUGGGUUUGGGGAGAUUCCUCCCUCUGUCUGCCUUGUCAGUAGGGGCACUUUCAUUUCACUUUCACCCUGUGCAACCUUCCUG